GCCCACAAGCUAGCUCACCCCCUAAAACACAACAUAACCCUAUUAAUAACCCCAGAUAGCCCCCCCCAUAAAACUAAACCAUUUUACCACCCAAGUAUGGGCGACAGAAAAGGACAUCGUAAGCAACAGCCAUAGUACCGUAAGGGAACGCUGAAAAAGAAGUGAAACAACUCAGUAAAGCACAUAAAAGCAGAGACUCCCCCUCGUACCUUUUGCAUCAUGAAUUAGCAAGUAAACACCGAGCAAAAAGCAUUUUAGUUCGGAACCCCGAAACCAAGUGAGCUACUCCAAGACAGCCUUUUGGGCGUACCCGUCUCUGUGGCAAAAGAGUGGGAAGAGCUUCGAGUAGAGGUGAUAUACCAACCGAACCUGGUUAUAGCUGGUUGCCCACGAAAAGAAUACAAGUUCAGCCCUUUAUACUCUUCCCUUGCCCGCACCUAAAGCUUGAGAGAAUAAAGGAGUCAGUCAAAGGGGGUACAGCCCCUUUGAGGAAGACACAACUUUACCAGCCGGGUAAAGAUCAUAUCCCCCAAGGGCUUAUGUUCCAGUUGGCCUAAAAGCAGCCACCUAAGUAGAAAGCGUUAAAGCUCAAACACCGCCCCACCCCAAUUAUACAGACAACAACAUCUUACCCCCCUAAUAUAUACUGGGCUUCUCUAUGCCCCCAUAGAGGGAACUAUGCUAAUAUGAGUAAUAAGAGACAAAGAAUCUCUCCCCGCACAAGUGUACCUCGGAACGAACCCCCACCGAAAUUUAACGGCCCCUAUUAAGAGGGCACUGAGGCACAAAACAACCGCCAGAUAAAUUCCCAGCCCCGCCCCGUUAACCUUACACAAGAGUGCCCGCAUGGAAAGACUUAAAAGGAAAGAAGGAACUCGGCA
rnacentral:rRNA from 1 species